GUCUGAGAGCAUGAGACCUCCCACUCUUGAGGCCAGAAGGAGUUGCUGAGAUGGAGCUGUGGUUCUGAUCUUCAGGGGAAUUCCUACAUCAGUAUGGUGGCUCAUGAAGAGCAUGGCUUCUUUUCUCAGCCCUCUCGAGGGGUGAGGAUGCCAAGGACUGAAGUCCUUGGGGUUUGAUGCACAUGGGGGCUUGCUAUUCGUCAUGUGAUGCUACACUACAGUCAGGCUGGAAUUUGGUGUCUUAUUGCUACAGAGUCAGCUUUGUCAAUCCUAAGGUCCCUGGGAGGCUGCACCAGGCCAUUUUGGUAACCAGAGGGACCUGUUCAACACCCUGUGGGUCCCAGCACCUCAUUCAGGAAGUAGAGUGCCUCUGUCCACCACCGAGUCUCAGGACAGGUGAGUGAGCACUCAUCAUUCCCAGAAAUCAGGUUGGCACAAAAUGGCACUGCCCACAAAGCCACAGGAAGAAGAGAAACUACGACUAUCACUCAGUUCAUAGAAGACACUGUACUGGACCUGGACAUUAGGCAGAUACCCACAUCUGACUUCUAGGAGAAAAGAGAACAUGACAAAUGGAUAUUCUCAGUAGAUGGUUUAUUAGAAAAGAAAACAUCUUCCAGCAUGUGUCCUGGGGUGAUGGAUGUGGGAAGCACUCAGUCCGUAGUCCUGGUCCUGGUUUCCCCAAGCCCAGCGCCAAGAAUGUGCAGUGGACAGCAGAGGGUGAGGUGUCAGAAAGAUGCUUCCGCUCACAAGAUUGGAGCUCACAGAUGAGCUUGAAUAACCUGCAAACCCAAGAAACCUGAGACACUGCCCCUUGGGCCUUUUAUCACCUGAGACUUUACUGCGAUUAUCCCAGCAGGGGGCAGAGCUCUCCUCUCUGCUAGAGGAAAUGCUCUUCAGUGAAAAUGCAGCAUUUCUCCAGGGGUAGUAAAGCUGAAUGCCUGCUUAGCUUACGAACCCUCAGCUGGCCUAGGUGGUGUAAAGACCCUGUUGUAACUGCUUUGAGCAUCGGUCCUGUGGACUGUGCCAGGAGAUCCUUGGGAAUGUGCACUGGGCAGAAGCAGCUUUCAUCCUUGGCCCUCACCCAUGCUUUACAUGGUGAGGUUGGGAAAGUGGCAGGAGGCUUCUUCUGAAUCUCAAAUCAACACCCUUGCCCCAUUUAGAUCCUAUCUGGCUGUUUCCUGUUAAGAUAUUACAGCAUCACUGCAGCAUCUUUCCUCUUUCAGCAAAGAGGAGUCACAGGGUAGAUGGACCCCAAAACCGAAAACAUGAAUCCAGCUAUGUUGUUUACUCUGUAAGAAAUGCACUAUUUUCUGGAAAGCUGCAGAAGCUUCAAAUGCAUUGGCCACACAAAGCUAAGUCAGCAGAACAACCCGUUUGGCUUUAGAAGCUAGUUCAGUUUGGCGAGCGGGGAGAAAGACGAGGCAGACUGUGGUUUUGCAGUUCCUGGAGCUUAGUGAGCUCCAAAGCUCCCUGCCCUUGCUGCACUGUUCUUAAUUUCAGAGAACACCCUGCCCUCUCCUCAUAUGGCCAUUGAGUUUCUGGCAUCGUCAGUUUAUCUCUGUCUGUGAAAUGAAAUAGCUACUGUGAAAUUCCUCACCUAUGGCAUGAGAGAUGGGUAUGGCUCUUGUGGGCCUCUCUGCAGCUCCUCUUUUCCCUCAAUCACCCUCUCUGUCUCUCCUGCCUUCUGCUUAUUCUUCCUCUACUCUCACCCAUACUCUCCCAGUGGGUUCUGUGUCCUCUUUUUUUUUUUUUAAUUUCUCUAUGCCUCCAGCCGAGAAGAUAAAGAGUGUACAUCUUUCUUGUUAAAAAGUUUUGCUUUGCAGAAACACAGCCAAUUUAUGAUUCUGGCCUUCUCAGCUAGGAGAAAUGUUAAUUUACAUUUAGGACCAUGAAGAGAGAGGUUUAGCUGUGAGUUUCUGAGGUCGGAGAAAAUUACAGUGAUACAUAACGGUGCUGCACUCACUGAGGUGCUGAGCUCAGGCUGGGCUCAGGCAGCCACUAAGCUCAGAGUGGAAAGUUUCAGGAGAGGAGGGAGAAAGGAGAGGUUUAUAGUUCCUUCAGAUUCUGGGGAUUAAUUUACUAAGAAAUUCCUAAGCCAGAAAACAGAGACAGAAGAUAAAGAGAGAGAAGAGCAAGAUAGAGAGACAAAGAGAGACAGUUAGACAGAAACAAAGAGAGACCAGAGAGGAGAGAGCAAAUAUUG